rnacentral:rRNA from 1 species
GACAUGCAGAGAACUUUACCAGAGAUGGAUUGGUGCCUUCGGGAACUCUGACACAGGUGCUGCAUGGCUGUCGUCAGCUCGUGUCGUGAGACGUUGGGUUAAGUCCGUAACGAGCGCAACCCUUGUCCUUAGUUACCAGCACGUUAUGGUGGGCACUCUAAGGAGACUGCCGGUGACAAACCGGAGGAAGGUGGGGAUGACGUCAAGUCAUCAUGGCCCUUACGGCCUGGGCUACACACGUGCUACAAUGGUCGGUACAAAGGGUUGCCAAGCCGCGAGGUGGAGCUAAUCCCAUAAAACCGAUCGUAGUCCGGAUCGCAGUCUGCAACUCGACUGCGUGAAGUCGGAAUCGCUAGUAAUCGUGAAUCAGAAUGUCACGGUGAAUACGUUCCCGGGCCUU